rnacentral:rRNA from 1 species
UACAGAGGUGGCAAGCGUUGUUCGGAAUUACUGGGCGUAAAGGGCGCGUAGGCGGUUCGUUAAGUCCUGUGUGAAAUCCCCCGGCUCAACUGGGGAACUGCACAGGAAACUAGCGGGCUUGAGUUCGGGAGAGGGAAGCGGAAUUCCGGGUGUAGCGGUGAAAUGCGUAGAUAUCUGGAGGAACACCGGUGGCGAAGGCGGCAUUCUGGACCGACAUUGACGCUGAGGAGCGAAAGCCAGGGGAGCAAACGGG